AACGAACGCUGGCGGCAUGCCUAACACAUGCAAGUCGAACGAAACCUUCGGGUCUUUUGGCGCACGGGUGCGUAACGCGUGGGAACCUUCCCUUAUGUUCGGAAUAACUCCCCGAAAGGGGUGCUAAUACCGGAUAAUGUCUUCGGACCAAAGAUUUAUCGCCUUUGGAUGGGCCCGCGUUGGAUUAGCUAGUUGGUAGGGUAAAAGCCUACCAAGGCGACGAUCCAUAGCUUGUCUGAGAGGAUGAUCAGCCACACUGGGACUGAGACACGGCCCAGACUCCUACGGGAGGCAGCAGUGGGGAAUAUUGGACAAUGGGCGAAAGGCUGAUCCAGCAAUGCCGCGUGAGUGAUGAAGGCCUUAGGGUUGUAAAGCUCUUUUACCCGGGAUGAUAAUGACAGUACCGGGAGAAUAAGCUCCGGCUAACUCCGUG
rnacentral:rRNA from 1 species